rnacentral:tRNA from 1 species
CAUACAGUAGUUUUAAAGAAAAUUCUGGCAUUGGAAGUCAGUGAUCGAGAUUGUAACUCUUGCUGUUUGA